GUUUUGGUUCGCGGCGACGCGAUUAAUAGGGAAUCCGGUGAGAAUCCGGGACAGACCCGCUACUGUAAUUCUUUUAAAACCCAUCGACAUGAUGUCACUGUCGGUUUUUCCGCCGGGAAGGCGUCGAUGGGGGGAUAAGUCAGGAGACCUGCCAAGACAACA
rnacentral:ncRNA from 1 species